rnacentral:misc_RNA from 1 species
GAUGAAGAACGCAGCGAAAUGCGAUAAGUAGUGUGAAUUGCAGAAUUCAGUGAAUCAUCGAAUCUUUGAACGCACAUUGCGCCCCAUGGUAUUCCAUGGGGCAUGCCUGUUCGAGCGUCAUUUGUACCUUCAAGCUUUGCUUGGUGUUGGGUGUUUGUCCCGAGGGACUCGCCUUAAAGUAAUUGGCAGCCAGUGUUUGGUUUUGAAGCGCAGCACAAGUCGCGAUUCAAGGCUACACGCCCGCUUCCACAAGCCUUUUUUCACUUUUGACCUCGGAUCAGGUAGGGAUACCCGCUGAACUUAAGCAUAUCAAUAAGCGGAGGA